rnacentral:rRNA from 1 species
UACGUAGGUGGCAAGCGUUGUCCGGAAUUAUUGGGCGUAAAGCGCGCGCAGGUGGUUUCUUAAGUCUGAUGUGAAAGCCCACGGCUCAACCGUGGAGGGUCAUUGGAAACUGGGGAACUUGAGUGCAGAAGAGGAAAGUGGAAUUCCAAGUGUAGCGGUGAAAUGCGUAGAGAUUUGGAGGAACACCAGUGGCGAAGGCGACUUUCUGGUCCAGCACCGACGUUCAGGCACGAAAGCGUGGGGAGCAAACAGG